UACGGGGGGGCAAGCGUUGUUCGGAAUUACUGGGCGUAAAGGGCUCGUAGGCGGCCAACUAAGUCAGACGUGAAAUCCCUCGGCUUAACCGGGGAACUGCGUCUGAUACUGGAUGGCUUGAGUUUGGGAGAGGGAUGCGGAAUUCCAGGUGUAGCGGUGAAAUGCGUAGAUAUCUGGAGGAACACCGGUGGCGAAGGCGGCAUCCUGGACCAACACUGACGCUGAGUGAGCGAAAGCCAGGGGAGCAAACGGG
rnacentral:rRNA from 1 species